GCACAGCAGGGGAGCUGGACUUGGGGACGUGGACAGAGGCCCAGCUGGGCCAUGCCUGAUUUCCCUUUGUGAAAGAAUUGGGAGAAGCUGGGAAGUCUCAAGGUGGUCUCCAAAGCUAACAGUUCACUGGGUCUGACUCCCAUCUUCCCAUCCUAAAACUCAAAGUCUUCAGGGAGACAGAAAAAAGAACAGAGAAUGAGAGAGGGAGCAAACAAGAAGCUCUUGUCUUUCUCAACAUGGGCUGCAGACCACCUUCCUUCAUGGGGAUCAUCUGAAGGGUACUGGGGCCCACCCUGUACCCCCUGAAAUGACCUGCAAGCCUUUCUGCAUCAUUCUGCCACAUGCUAAAUCUGAGAACUACAGCACCAGAAUACCUCUACCUACUAGGCUCUUUGGAUCUGUCAUAAAGAAACAAGAAUGCCUGAAAUGCCUUCCCUCCCAAGUGCUGGUUGAUACCUGAGCUUGAGAACAGUCUCCAAGACCAGGAGGCAACAACCCAAAGCAAAGGAGCUGGAAAACCACGGCGGCGAGAAGGCCCUGCACACAGCUGCCGUCACUCAUCUCUCUCCAGUGCAGUGAUGAACAUCUCCCUUCACUGGGAUCAUCUGGAGGAGACUGGGGUCCACACAGCAAUGUGGCCAUGCAGCAAAGAGUCCCACCUGUGAGACUCAGCCUUGAAGGAUGAGUGAAAUUUGACAGUAGAGAAAGGAAA